UAGGGAAUCUUCGGCAAUGGGGGGAACCCUGACCGAGCAACGCCGCGUGAGUGAAGAAGGUUUUCGGAUCGUAAAGCUCUGUUGUUAAGGAAGAACGAGUGUGAGAAUGGAAAGUUCAUACUGUGACGGUACUUAACCAGAAAGGGACGGCUAACUACGUGCCAGCAGCCGCGGUAAUACGUAGGUCCCGAGCGUUGUCCGGAUUUAUUGGGCGUAAAGCGAGCGCAGGCGGUUAGAUAAGUCUGAAGUUAAAGGCAGUGGCUCAACCAUUGUAGGCUUUGGAAAAUGUUUAACUUGAGUGCAGAAGGGGAGAGUAGAAUUCCAUGUGUAGCGGUGAAAUGCGUAGAUAUAUGGAGGAACACCGGUGGCGAAAGCGGCUCUCUGGUCUGUAACUGACGCUGAGGCUCGAAAGCGUGGGGAGCGAACAGG
rnacentral:rRNA from 1 species